ACAUGUGGACUAAAGUACCAAAAUUUUCAAAUUUUUUAAUUAAAUCUAUUCUUUACAGCAAGUCCUUUAUCAAAGGAUGUUAUAUUAAACAAUGAGAGUAAAGUGGACCUUUCUAAAAUACCCAAACUGAAAAGGAAAAUCAGGAGAGUUCCACGGCAAUCCAAGAGAGAGUGCAAAAACAAGAAUGAGGGGGAUAACACCAUGCACAUCAAUGCUGCAGCAGAUUGUCAACUUGAACAAAUUGCAACAGUACCUAGCUCUUUUGAGAGCUAUUCAACACCACUUCAAAGCUACAUGCAGCAGCUGCUGAUAUACAAAGGAUUUACCCCUAUUGGCAGCUAUUUCAAUAAAUUUGUAUUGAGAGAAUUUGCACAAGAAGAUAAAAAAC